CAAGUCGAACGGUAACAGGAAGAAGCUUGCUUCUUUCCUGACGAGUGGCGGACGGGUGAGUAAUGUCUGGGAAACUGCCUGAUGGAGGGGGAUAACUACUGGAAACGGUAGCUAAUACCGCAUAACGUCGCAAGACCAAAGAGGGGGACCUUCGGGCCUCUUGCCAUCGGAUGUGCCCAGAUGGGAUUAGCUAGUAGGUGGGGUAACGGCUCACCUAGGCGACGAUCCCUAGCUGGUCUGAGAGGAUGACCAGCCACACUGGAACUGAGACACGGUCCAGACUCCUACGGGAGGCAGCAGUGGGGAAUAUUGCACAAUGGGCGCAAGCCUGAUGCAGCCAUGCCGCGUGUAUGAAGAAGGCCUUCGGGUUGUAAAGUACUUUCAGCGGGGAGGAAGGGAGUAAAGCUAAUACCUUUGCUCAUUGACGUUACCCGCAGAAGAAGCACCGGCUAACUCCGUGCCAGCAGCCGCGGUAAUACGGAGGGUGCAAGCGUUAAUCGGAAUUACUGGGCGUAAAGCGCACGCAGGCGGUUUGUUAAGUCAGAUGUGAAAUCCCCGGGCUCAACCUGGGAACUGCAUCUGAUACUGGCAAGCUUGAGUCUCGUAGAGGGGGGUAGAAUUCCAGGUGUAGCGGUGAAAUGCGUAGAGAUCUGGAGGAAUACCGGUGGCGAAGG
rnacentral:rRNA from 1 species